AGGCCAAAUCACUGAGGUCCCGUGCACACCUUGGCAUGUUCGGAAAAGAAUCUUUGAUAGUUAGAAUUCAAUUGUUUAUCGAGAAAGCAGGGGGUUAAACCACAUUUCAUUCAUUCAUUUACUAAUAAAUGAAUUUAGCUGCGAGUUUAUUGGUGCUGUUAGUAGUUCAACUGUUUGGAUAUAUAGAUGGACAAACCUGUGCCAAUUUCUCCAAUGGAUGCACUACAAGUGGUGGUUUCCCAACAUACAAACAACUUUUUGAACCGGCGUGUGAUAAUCAUGACGUUUGCUAUUCGUGUGGCAUCGGACGAGAUGUUUCAAGAUACGAUUGUGACUAUGAUUUCUACUAUAACAUGCAAGGCCACUGUUCCGACUUCUCCUUUUUUCAAAGGCUAUGGUGUAACCUGAUCAAAUGGAAAUUUUAUUUAGGAGUGCGUUGGUUUGCGUCAAGUUAUUUUGUAAAUCCGUCGCCAUCGUAUUGCAACGAGACGUGGGUGGAUAACUGUUUACCUUAAAAGAAAAAAAAAACUUUAGUGGAUCAAAAAUAAACUAUACAGAUUUCAUUACUUUUAUCUGUUUUAUUUGUUUUGUAAGACCCGCUAAUAAAUUGGAUUCGUCUUCUUA